rnacentral:lncRNA from 1 species
GUCUUCAAAGGCUUACCCCUUUCUUGAACAAGAUUUGCAAAAUUAACCUACUUUAGAAUAUUGCCAUGUCUCUAUGCGUAUUAAAACCAUUUAGGCAUUAACUGUUACUUUGUUAGGAAGCAGUUUGUAGUCUAAAGCUGGGCUAUUCCUUUUCUCAGGCACACGGGAAUAGUUGUGUAUGGGAACGAGUACUUUUUCGGAGGAGGGAUACAGCAUUUACCUGCUGGUACAACUCCGUACGGAGCACCACUACGAAGCGUAGAGAUGGGUGAGACACAUGUUCCUAAAGACGUGUUCGAGAUGUACUUGGAGGAGAUCAGUCCUCGCUACACCGCUGAGUCCUACAAUUUGCUUACUCACAACUGCAACAACUUCAGCAGCGAGGUGUCUCAGUUUCUUGUUGGUAAAGGCAUCCCAGACUACAUUCUCCAGCUUCCCAGUGAGGUCAUGAACAGCCCCAUGGGUGGUCUUCUAAGUUAGUAGCUCUUAACUUGGCUAAACCUCUCUUGACCCCUUGGAUCCUAAUUUUUAUAUCCUUAUUUGCAGUGCCUAUGGUACAAAACCUGGAAGCAACUCUUAGAGCCGGCGCUGUUCCUAACGCUCCACAGUUUAGGCCUCAGCCACAACCUCUUGGAGCUUCUAGCAAAGACGAAGGUCCAAAACCAUCUAACAAACUUGAGAAAGCUUCCGAGUCACCGGUUGUUGUUCAACCUUCGGCUAGUAAACAGAAGGUGAAAGAGGACCCAUUGGGUGAUGCUAGGACCAAGAUUCAGGAAGAGAUUACUCGUGAGUUUGCUUCUCUCAUGGCACAAGGCACACUGAGAGCAAGUGAAGCAGCUACUAUAGCUACCAAAAGAGUGAUGCAAAAGUAUGGGCAUCUCAAUGUAUCUGCUUAGAGUCAUAACAAAACAGAAUGAAACCGUUUAUUAUUGCAAUUGUAUUGGAACCGAGGCCAUUGAGUUACUAUUUCUCUAGCUGCAUUUGUAUUCAACAAUUUAGAAAACAAUUAGGACACUAGAGUCUCAGGUUCCAACUCAAUAGCUGUCUUUUUGGAUUCUGAAGGAAUAUUAAUGCCUGCAAAGCCGACCAUUACAGCAGCAGCUCCAAUGUAGUCGGUGAAGCUUGGUUUGUUCCCUGAUAAGCUGUCUACAUUGCCUGCCAAUGGAACCUGAAUGGUUAGCCCAGCCGUCGCCACCGUGGUUGUUGUCAGAAGUACUGCCUUCCCCCAUAGGUAGUCACUGAGCACAUUAUCUAACAAACCUGAAAACGCAAGACACACAUCAGCAUCCCAACAUUUACAAGUUAUGUGGUUUGGCAUACCUUUGCCAACAACUAGACCAAACUGUUCCAAGGUUAGCGCGUCGAAGCGUUCUCGCUUUGUGAAGUUGAGUAAUAGAGCAACAGGUAGGAAGAUGAAGAAGUUGAAGAGACCUAGAAACCCAAGAAGCUGAGCCAUACUGAAGCUGCCACUUCUCUCAUCGUCAUCUGGAAGCUUUUUGCGUAUAAGAGUGAUGUAGACAGCGUAUAGCGCCGCUGAGACCAGAGAGAGGAUAUCUCCAAGAAGUGGGUUUUUAGCUGUUGCAGUUGAGUCAGAUUCUGAGUCACCAAUACUCACAAUGAUGGUACCAAACAUACAAAGAAGAACGCUGAAAAGUUUCAACCAGAUGAAUCUCUCUCCCAAGAAUAGUAGUGAUACUAAAAAGGUGAAAAGGCUUGAUGCACUGCUUAAGAUUGUAUUUGACUGCAAACUCACAAAAUGAAAAUGUCUUAGGAUGAUGUAACACCCGUCUCAAUCUUUUUUGAUGCUACUUAGGGCAUCUGCAUUGGGAGGCCCUUAAGGCAUCCCUUAGGGGAAAAGGGUGGGAACCGAGGAAGAAAGAGAAGGGAAAAGCCCUUAAGCAAGGGCUGUCCCUUGCUCUUCAAUAACCAAAAAAAAAAAAAGUAAAAUAAGGGACUCUCUCUCCCUCUCUCUUCAUCCCACCAAUGAAGAUGCCCUUAUGCUAAAAUGUCGAAUUAAACCGAAUUAUAAAAACAUAAAUUGUCGAUCGUCGAAUCGUAUAUGUAAUCUUGAUAAUUAUAAUAUCAUAAUAAAUCAGCUUUAAAAUAUAUAAAUAUAUAUAUAUAUAUAUAUAAAAACAUUUUUUAUUCAUUUAAUAAAAAUAAAGAGAAUGAAAUAAUUUUAAAAUUCACUAAACGAAAUAAACAGCAUCCAAAGAUUAUAUAAAACUGAAAUAAAAUCACUAUGAUCCUUAAAAAAAUCUCAAGUCAAGCAUAAGAGUUGUUUCAGAACAGAGCAACACAAGAAUGAGUUCUCAAUGUACUUACCGUAACUGUCGUGUACUUGAGAGAGAGAUUGAAAGUGAGCUGAGCCAUUGCGCGGAGAUGAUCCUCGUGUCUAUGGAACUGACAAAGAAUAUGCUUUAAGGGUAGCUGAAGACGCCUUCUAUAAGCAAAUGGCUGCCGAUUGUACCAAGUUCCAGAUUGCAAUUAAUGUUUAUGCAUUCAGUGAUAAGUACACUGACAUUGCCUCCUUAGGUACGAAGACGUUAUGAUUAUCACCGUUUUAUUUAUUUCAGGUGUUCGGAGUCAGUUAGUGGUGGCUUCUCCCGCCGUUCAAUAUUGCUGUUUUAAGUGCGAAAUUUAUGUAUUAAAAUGCAUUGGUUUUGUGUAGGGACUCUGGCAAAAUACACUGGUGGACAGGUGUACUACUAUCCAGGCUUCCAAUCAUCUAUCCAUGGAGAUAAGUUAAGACACGAGCUGGCUAGAGACCUUACAAGGGAAACUGCCUGGGAAUCCGUCAUGCGAAUAAGAUGUGGAAAAGGUUUAAAAGUUUAUGAUACAGUAUUCAUUUUUGUUACCUGUUAUGGCACUCAAGAUAUGCUAAAUUCGUUGGUAUCCUACAUGUCAUCUUAUAUAUUUUGGCCUGCAGGAAUUCGUUGCUCGUCCUACCAUGGGAACUUCAUGCUAAGGUCUGCCGACCUGCUUGCUCUUCCUGCUGUUGAUUGUGACAAAGCAUAUGCAGUGCAGCUAGCUCUGGAAGAGACAUUGCUAACAACCCCGACUGUGUAUUUCCAAGUCGCUUUACUGUAUCCUUUUGAAUAGUGUAUAUUUAAAACAUACUUGAGUUUAGAUUUUCAGCUGGUACAACACAUCAUGUGGUUUUAGUAAUCCUUAACAGAACUAAGAUAUACUGCUUCUUGCGGAGAGAGGCGUAUAAGGGUACACACAGCUAUUGCACCAGUGGUUACAGAUCUUGGAGAGAUGUAUAGACAAGCAGACACUGGCUCCAUUGUCUCUGUAUAUGCUAGAUUAGGUAAGGGAUACAUUCAAGUUUUUCCCAGUAGCAUUAUACAUUACUUUGGAUGUUAUUUGAUAACUGUUUUAAUUCUGCAGCAAUUGAGAAAACUUUGUCCGCAAAAUUGGAUGAUGCACGGAAUGCUAUACAGCAAAAGAUUGUUAAAGCCCUCAGAGAAUAUCGUAAUCUUCACUCGGUGCAGCAUCGGUUGGGGUCUAGAUUAAUAUACCCAGAGUCUCUGAAGUUCUUGCCAUUGUACGGAUUGGCCAUUUGUAAGUCCACACCUCUUCAUGGUGGACCAGCUGAUGCUUCACUUGACGAACGAAGUGCGGCAGGCUUCACCAUGAUGGCCCUGCCUGUCAAAAAGCUAUUGAAGCUGUUAUAUCCCAGUUUAUUCCGUGUUGACGAGUGGCUCUUAAAGGUUUGUGCUUCUCUAUCUCAAUGUACAUCUUUUCAGAAAAUUCAUAAAAUCAUUAAUGAAUUUGACAUGUUUGCAGCCAUCGGCAGACCAUGAUGACCUCAAGGACGUAUUGAGGAGAUUGCCUCUGGCUGCAGAGAGUUUGGAUUCUAGAGGCCUUUACAUUUACGAUGAUGGGUUUCGAUUGGUGUUGUGGUUUGGCCGGAUGCUUUCACCUGACAUUGCUAAAUGUCUUCUUGGGACUGACUUUGCAGCAGAGCUCUCAAGGGUAUGCUCUUUCAUCCACAUACAUGUUAAUUUAUUAACCAGCGUUACAUCUAAUGAUCUAUUUGCUUCCAUACUAAUUCCUCAGUCUUUCUUUGUGGUGGAUCUUUAGGUUACACUGCAAGAACAAGAGAAUGGGAUGUCGAAGAAGCUAAUGAGGCUGAUAAAGAAAGUGAGGGAUAAUGAUCCGUCAUACCAUCCCAUGUGUUUGCUAGUGAGGCAAGGAGAACAACCCCGAGAAGGCUUCCUUCUCCUCAGAAAUCUCAUUGAUGACCAGAUGGGCGGUUCGACUGGUUAUGUUGAUUGGAUGCUGCAACUUCACCGCCAAGUCCAACAAAAUGCGUAAUAGUUCACAAUGGUACGAAUUAAGAAACAUUUAUUCCAUGUCAUAACAGUCACAUGUUCAACGCAUCUUACGAAGCAGUUUUUUUUUUACAGACAACUUGAGUGCCAAGAUUGCGCCUCUCUGUAACAAUUAAAGAAACUCCUGAGCUCAAAAUCUUCUUCUUAAGCCGUCUAAGGUGUCACAAGGUUUAAAGAAUGCGGAUCAUUGCGGUCUGCUUCGUUGGGCUUAAUGUGUUUUGGAAAAUAAAGAAGCACUAGUUUGAUUUUUCUUCAUUUGUUUUUCUAUAUAAUCUUUUUUUUUUCCUGCUCAAUGUCCAGGCUUUUAUCUGCUUAACCAUAAUGGUAGAUUAGUCGUUUUUAUUAUUCCUUUGUUGCAUUUUUUUUCAAAUUUUCUUGUGCCUUUGUAAUCAGAUUUAUUUUGGGUGGGGGAGUUUACAAUCCAUGAAUCUAUUAAUCAGGGAUAUUGACAAAAAUUAAAUUACUUUGACUCCAUUAAGAUGGACACCACAUAUGAAUAUAAUCUGUAUGAAUGUGGGUAUAGACUAAAGGGAGUUAAGAUGUUGAUUGACCAUUUUAUAAAGAGAAAUUCAAAGAUUCUGGUCGGUUUAACCAGAACCGGUUAGGAUAAGAAACGUGUCAAUUAAUUUAUUUGGCGGCACUUUCUAGAAGCGUACAACAGAGUUAGAGACCGUGUGGGGCUCUCCCUUCCGCUUAUACGACGCCGUAAGACGAAUCUUUGAAAUGUUCCAAUCAGGUUGCCUUUAUUAAAUCACCUCUCUGAACCAUUGCUUUCAAAAAAAGUUUUCAGAUUUGAGCUUACCGACAAAAAAAAAAAAGAAAUUCCGAGCUUCCUGGAGAAGAAGCAGCGGCGACUUGCCUUUCAUUCGUUUUCGUAUGUGAUCGCUCCCUCGCAUCAAGAUUCGAAAUUCUUCAAGAUUUGGUCUUCAAGAUUCGAAAUUCUUAUGUUCGAUUUGUAAAAUAUUUGUUUUUGAGGUUUCUUUGUUCUUCUGUUUCAGGUGGUUAACUCUGUUUCUGAGGAUAUUUAGAGAUAUGGCUGAGGUAUAGUCUCUCUCUUUUUCAUCUCUUGUUAAAAGUUAAUUGGUAUCUUGCUUCGUUUGUUAAUUAGAUUCAAUGUGAGAUAUGUCAGGAAGCGCAUAAGGUUACUCUGAAUGUCUACGACCUGAGCAGAGGCUUGGCUCGCCAGCUCUCUGCUUCACUCUUGGGAAAAGUCAUCGAAGGUGUCUGGUCAGUUCCAUCUCUCUCUCUCUCUCUCUCUCUCCUACACACAUUCUCACAAGUUAUCAAUUUGAGUGAAAGGUGAAAACUUUAACCCUUUUUGCUGGGUUUAGUCUUCAAAGGCUUACCCCUUUCUUGAACAAGAUUUGCAAAAUUAACCUACUUUAGAAUAUUGCCAUGUCUCUAUGCGUAUUAAAACCAUUUAGGCAUUAACUGUUACUUUGUUAGGAAGCAGUUUGUAGUCUAAAGCUGGGCUAUUCCUUUUCUCAGGCACACGGGAAUAGUUGUGUAUGGGAACGAGUACUUUUUCGGAGGAGGGAUACAGCAUUUACCUGCUGGUACAACUCCGUACGGAGCACCACUACGAAGCGUAGAGAUGGGUGAGACACAUGUUCCUAAAGACGUGUUCGAGAUGUACUUGGAGGAGAUCAGUCCUCGCUACACCGCUGAGUCCUACAAUUUGCUUACUCACAACUGCAACA